rnacentral:lncRNA from 1 species
UGCGGUGGCUCCUCCGGCUCACGUUGUGGUUGGGUGUUUCGCUUUGAUUAACCUUUAGAGAAAAAAGUGGUGAUCACAACAAUGGAAAAAUUACGCAAAAUGGGAAUCGGAAAGGGCCUCAUUGGAGGCGAUUUAUGAAAUUCCCCGCAGUGACGCCGCCGAGCUUUGUCGGUGUGUUCCGGUAAAUUGCCCAGUUCUUUCACUCUG